rnacentral:rRNA from 1 species
AGCGAACGCUGGCGGCAGGCCUAACACAUGCAAGUCGAACGAACCCUUCGGGGCUAGUGGCGGACGGGUGAGUAACACGUGGGAACGUGCCUUUAGGUUCGGAAUAACUCAGGGAAACUUGUGCUAAUACCGAAUGUGCCCUUCGGGGGAAAGAUUUAUCGCCUUUAGAGCGGCCCGCGUCUGAUUAGCUAGUUGGUGAGGUAAUGGCUCACCAAGGCUACGAUCUGUAGCUGGUCUGAGAGGAUGACCAGCCACAUUGGGACUGAGACACGGCCCAAACUCCUACGGGAGGCAGCAGUGGGGAAUCUUGCGCAAUGGGCGAAAGCCUGACGCAGCCAUGCCGCGUGGAUGAUGAAGGUCUUAGGAUUGUAAAAUCCUUUCACCGGUGAAGAUAAUGACUGUAGCCGGAGAAGAAGCCCCGGCUAACUUCGUGCCAGCCGCCGCGGUAAGAC